UACAGAGGGUGCAAGCGUUGCUCGGAUUUACUGGGCGUAAAGCGUACGCAGACGGUGAGAAAGGUCGGAUGUGAAAGCCCCGGGCUCAACCCGGGAACUGCAUCCGAAACCAUCUCGCUAGAGUAUGAGAGAGGGAAGCGGAAUUCCUGGUGUAGAGGUGAAAUUCGUAGAUAUCAGGAGGAACACCGGCGGCGAAGGCGGCUUCCUGGCUCAUUACUGACGUUCAGGUACGAAAGCGUGGGUAGCAAACAGGAUUAGAUACCCUGGUAGUCCACGCUGUAAACGAUGUGUGCUGGAUGUCGGGGGUAUUCACCCCCUCGGUAUCGAAGCUAACGCGAUAAGCACACCGCCUGGGGAGUACGGCCGCAAGGUUG
rnacentral:rRNA from 1 species